CGCCGUCGCCGUCGCCACCCCUCGUCUCAACGUCGGAACCCUAGCCGCCGCCGAAUCUGUCGAUCUUUGCCGGCGACGCCGAGGAGGAGGACGAGUCGGCUCUCGACCCCGAGCUCCGAUACAGCUUCCAGUGGAAUUUCAAGGUUCAAAGUGAUCAUUUCGAGGAGUUUUUCGCCCCUGAAUUAGACAAACAUGGUUAUGAAGCUUUAUACAAGAAAAAAACGAUCAAGGUUUAUGGUGGGAAUAUCAAUACAAUAGAUGGCUGUGUUAAAGGCUUCAAUGUGUCUAUGCAGGUUGAAUUUAUCAAAGUAGCACAGUCCUUGACAGAAGCAUUGGUUCCAAGCAUCGAGAAGAAAGCUACUUUAAAUCGAUUAGUCAAGCUAAACAGAAAUAUGGGGACUUUUCUUCAUGUCACCAUUACAUAUGCAGCCUCAAAUUUUCGAGCUUUUUAAAGGAUUUAACCAACCCCAGAAAAAAAAAA